AUACUUACCUGGCAGGGGAAGGACCAUGAGCAAGGAAGGUGGUUCACCCAGGGCGAGGGCUUUAACAUUGGCACUCCGGUAUGCUGACCCCUGCGUAAUUCCCCAAAUGGGGAAUCUCGACGCAUAUGUGUGGUAGUGGGGGAGCGUUCGCGCUCUCCCAAA